rnacentral:rRNA from 1 species
UACGGAGGGGGCUAGCGUUGUUCGGAAUUACUGGGCGUAAAGCGCACGUAGGCGGAUUAGUAAGUUGGGGGUGAAAUCCCGGGGCUCAACCUCGGAACUGCCUUCAAAACUACUAGUCUUGAGUUCGAGAGAGGUGAGUGGAAUUCCGAGUGUAGAGGUGAAAUUCGUAGAUAUUCGGAGGAACACCAGUGGCGAAGGCGGCUCACUGGCUCGAUACUGACGCUGAGGUGCGAAAGCGUGGGGAGCAAACAGG